AAUGAACGUUGGCGGCGUGGAUUAGGCAUGCAAGUCGAACGAAUGUCAGUCUUGUAGCAAUACCGGGCUGGCGGAAGUGGCGAAAGGGGCAGUAAUGUUUGGGUAACGUACCCGGGGGUCGUGGAUAGCCUUCCUAACGGAUGGGUAAUACACGGCGAUUCAGCGAGGGGACAUCCUCUUGCUGGGAAAGAAUUUCGCCUCCGGAGCGGCUCAAAUCGUAUUAGCUAGUUGGUGAGGUAACGGCUCACCAAGGCGAAGAUGCGUAGCGGGUGUGAGAGCACGACCCGCGCCACUGGCACUGAGACACUGGCCAGACACCUACGGGUGGCUGCAGUCGAGGAUCUUCGGCAAUGAGCGAAAGCUUGACCGAGCGACGCCGCGUGGACGAUGAAGGCCUUCGGGUUGUAAAGUCCUGUCGAGGGGGAUCAAGGGCAACUUGAGUGAUCCCUGGAGGAAGCACGGGCUAAGUUCGUGCCAGCAGCCGCCGUAACAC
rnacentral:rRNA from 1 species